AAACUUGGGCUAAUACCGAAUACGCCCUUACGGGGAAAGAUUUAUUGCCGAAGGAACGGCCCGCGUCCGAUUAGCUUGUUGGUGAGGUAACGGCUCACCAAGACGACGAUCGGUAGCUGGUCUGAGAGGAUGACCAGCCUCACUGGGACUGAGACACGGCCCAGACUCCUACGGGAGGCAGCAGUGGGGAAUAUUGGACAAUGGGCGCAAGCCUGAUCCAGCCAUGCCGCGUGGGUGAUGAAGGCCCUAGGGUUGUAAAGCCCUUUCGGCGGGGAAGAUAAUGACGGUACCCGCAGAAGAAGCCCCGGCUAACUUC
rnacentral:rRNA from 1 species